GCUGGGUAUGGUGGUGCACAUCUGUAAUCCCAGCAACUCAGGAAGCUGAGGCAGGAGGAUUGCAAGUUUGAGGCCAGCCCCAGCAACUUAGUGAGAUCCUAAGGAACUUAGCAAGACCUUUCUUCAC
rnacentral:sRNA from 1 species